AUUGAACGCUGGCGGCAUGCUUUACACAUGCAAGUCGAACGGGCUUGGGGGCUUGCUCCCAAGUUAGUGGCGAACGGGUGAGUAAUACAUCGGAACGUACCGUGUAGUGGGGGGUAACGUAGCGAAAGUUACGCUAAUACCGCAUACAAUCUACGGAUGAAAGCAGGGGGACCUUCGGGCCUUGUGCUAUACGAGCGGCCGAUGUCUGAUUAGCUAGUUGGUGAGGUAAAGGCUCACCAAGGCGACGAUCAGUAGCGGGUCUGAGAGGAUGAUCCGCCACACUGGGACUGAGACACGGCCCAGACUCCUACGGGAGGCAGCAGUGGGGAAUUUUGGACAAUGGGCGAAAGCCUGAUCCAGCCAUGCCGCGUGUCUGAAGAAGGCCUUCGGUUGUAAGGACUUUGUCAGGAGCAAACUACUGUUAAUACCGGUGAGGCUGAGAGUACCUG
rnacentral:rRNA from 1 species